rfam:Stegodyphus mimosarum contig117666, whole genome shotgun sequence.
GCCUUCGUGAUGUACUGGUCAGCACGCUCGACGCGUAAGCGAGAGGUCUGUGGUUCGAUUCCCGGCGAAGGCG